UGUCCCCAGUGAAGGACAGACUGUCAUGCUGAGGAUGCCAUAUGUGGAUGCGAGGCCCCGGAGGAGAGGAGUCAUGUGGAGAACAGAGGCACACCAGCCAACAGCCAGCACCAAGUGUCAGCCAUGUUGGCAGAGGUUUAAGGAAAUUCUUUGGGGAGGCCCCUGCAAAGUCACUCUUCUAAAAUAUGAAUGGUGUUGAUGGAAAAAGCUGAAGUGCUUUUUUGAGCAUGAAUCGGACUAUCGCCAUGUGGCCAACAGCGUGGCUGUUUUCCCACCAAGCCCAGCACUAGAGAGAACAUUAAGAAGAGCUGAGUGGAGUUCCAAGCUCCCCGUUCUUCUGCCCACCCUCCGAUGGAGAUGCUAAUGACUCAGCCAAACGAAGAACGGAAGAGUAGCCAGGAGAAAGGAAACCGAAAAACCAUGAGCUUGGGCCACCGCCAAGCUAGAAAAGCAGACACUGAGCAACUGGAAGGCACUGGAGACCUAGCAUGAAGGAGCAGCCGGCAGACCCAGGCCUUGGGAGGACUGGGCUGCGGUUUCCAGAAGGACUAGGGCCGUCCUAUUUGGUGCUGCCACACUCAGAUCACGCUCUCUGCCCAGUGUGACCAGCGUGUGUGUUCACCCAGGGUGAACAAAGACCAAGCUUUAAUCAGGAGCCGGGUUUCCUGGCUCAUAGUAGGAAAGACCCGGCAGCAGACUAACCCAAGUGCUCUCUCCUCACUUGAACACAAUUUGCUAACAGGAUGAGGAAAGGAAGAGGAAGACCAAGACUUUGUUUUUAGGACCACUUUGUUAGUCCCCCUGGCUAACAUCUCAUUGGUUUCCCCCUCUUGGAGCUUUCUGGUUUUUCUAACGGUUUAUUAAGGUCAUGAGAGCAAUGGCUCACAAUCCUUUUGAACCUGGGUUUAGAUUGUUUUUUAGGAUUUUAUGUAUUUAUUUGAGAAAGCAUGAGCAGGUGGGGGGGGAAGGGAGAUAAGCAGACUCCCCACUGAAUGCAGAGCCCGAGGAGGGGCUCCAUCCCAGGACCCUGAGACCACGGCCUGAGCCAAGGUCAGCCCCUCAGCGGACUGAGCCACCCAGGUGCCCCUACCACCCCCCAUAGUUUUAAUUAAUAUAAAAAUUGUACAUGGUCUGCAAAGAUUAUUUGAAAUCUCAAAUAUCAUCAGUGAAACAAAUUAGCACGAGUCACUGUAGAAUAGUUUUUUUUUAACAGAUGAAAUAUCUUAUGAAGCAAUUUAAUGUCUAUGAUGUAUAUAAAAAAAACAACCCACUAUAGAAGUGCAGUUUGACUUUUCACAGCCUCAUCCUCGUCCCCCUUUCCUGGGCCAUUUCCAUUUGUGUCGGGCUCUGUAGCCUAGAAGAACUUUUGGGGAGUUUUGGUUCAGAUGCGUCCAGAAUUAAAUUUGGAAGCGGGAAGAAGAGAAGGGGAGAUGAUUUGAUGAAGGGAAGAGAGCAGUUUACUGAUGCGUCCUGGGGUGGAAUGAUGGGGAUAUGUGGAAGUCGUGCUGGGACAUAGAAGAGCUGGCGUGGAGGAGCUACGGUUGGAGAACACAGAACAAGCACUGGUUCGGUCGAGGUGAUGUUAAA